CUCCAUCACAAGUCUCCAUCAUCAACACAGUUACGAACCUACACAGGAUCAUAACUCUUUUCUUUCUUCCCCUGCUAACCAGUCUCCGUCUCAUCCUCCAUUUCCGAGCGGCGGCAUAAGGCGGCUCCGUCUUUUGUCUCCACCGUCUGAUUAGACGUCGGAUCUCAGACCACUCAUCGUCACCGCUUCCAUUGAAGCCCUCGGAUCUUGAUAAUCGCAGAGGCUUAUCUCCAUCUACAAUCAGACAACUUGUGAUUCCAUUUUAGGGUUUUUUUUGAAUUGUUGAAAAGGAUUGAUGAUUCUAGCAUCGAUCUCAGAAGUAGAGCAAGGACUUUUUACUCUUUUUGUACCUUUUAAAGAUCCCGAAGAGCUUCCCAAGUGGAACUAUGAUGGAUGUAGCAUAUGCCAAGCUCAUGGAGAAAAGUGUUAAUUGAUCAUAUUUUGGAUUAGCAUCUAAUAAGAUAACUGUUGGAUUAGCAAGAGAAGUAACAAGGAUUGACAAGUUCGAUAGCGGGAAAGGCGAACUGAGCAAUGGUAAUCUCCAUUGGCUACUCUUGAUUGUUGUAGGUAAAAUUUUGGCGUUUGUCAAACAAGCAACCAUUACGUGUUGCAUCUAUUAAUCCGACAACUGUAUAUGAUUCUUUGAGAUUAUCUUUUCACUUUUGCUCUUAGUGUUAAUCUUAUUGUUCUUUGUUAGCUGACUCCAAAAUUAGGGUUUUGUACAGAGAAUUGGGGAUAUUUUGGCAUAAAUAGAGGUUAAUUUUGCAUUGCCAGUUUGUUUUGUUAUUCCUAAUUUUUUUAUGGGACUUGUUAAGUUGAAGUAUUUACUAGCAUAAACACGUUGUUGAGCAUAAUUUGUUGAUCACGUAUGCUUUAGCUGCUCACAAAUGCUUUACCUACUUUUGUUGGUUUGUCAGUAUAGAAGCAUAACUUGUCACCUUGCCACACAUAUUUUGGAUUAUACAUGCUUAACACAGAAUUCAUAUACCAUUUGCUAGAAUGCUUAUCAAAAGGAUAAAAAUACUAUUGACAUUGCUCUUUAAAGGCUAAUGGCUCACUUGGCUACAUAUGUAUGCCACUAUAACCUGUUAAAAGUAUGCGAAGUUGUGUUGCUUCCAUUAUUCUUGCAAAUGGUUGGAUUAACUUACUGACAAAAAGAGCAAUGGACUUUACUGACAAAAAGAGCAAAUUUUUAAACAGCAAUGGACUUUACUGACAAAAAGAGAUUGAAUUGAAAUAUAAACAUUAGUAUGUGAUUCACAUAAACAAUACAGUUCAACAAGAAUUAAAUUCGCAUAUCUAUAUGUGUGUGUGAUUGUGUGAGAGGGUACUAAUGAAUUAAAAUGAGGCUUUAUUAACUCAUCAAACAUACUCUUGUUUAUGGUCUUAAUUUCCAAGUCAACUAGUGGGUCAGCCCAGAAGAAUGCAAGGAAGGUUCAAUGACUUUGAAAUUACACUUUCCACAACAUUCAAUUUCAAUUUCAAUUAUAAAAAGGCAAACAAAUUGUCAAUUCAACUUCACCAAUUUCGUUUCAACAUUUUGUCAAACACAUGGUGAGCAAGAGGGUGGAAAAUAACAACAAUAAAAAGCAUAGCCCAAACAACAGCAACAUAUAAACUACCAAAAACAAUAAUAGCAACAUCAUCACACACAAACUAAUUGAUUAAAAGAAAAUUAGAAUUGAAUGGAAGUACGGUUAAGAAUCAUUAUGUAGGACAAUA